AUUUUUAACCUUAAACGGUUAAUUUACAGCACGAUUUAUGAUAAUUUUAUUAUGUUAGAUCGUGAUCAACAAUUAACGAAUGUAAAUUAUUGAUAGUAGUAAAUAAUAAUAAAUAUUUUUAUUCAAUGAUUUCAACUUAUUACUUAAUGAAGUGAUCAGUAUUAUAGAAUAAGUAAUACAUUUUAAUGAUAUGUCGACGAAAUGUUGACAAAGAAGAAUUUGGCGUAUCCGUCUUCUGUAUCACAAAAAAAAAUAAUAAAAACAAAGUACCUACUAGGUAUACCAAUUACAAUUAUUUCAAAUUUAUCAAUUAAAAAAUUGUAUGAAGAGCCUUUAUCAUUCAAUUUGAGGGAAUGUCAAGUCCAAUUAAGUAUAUCUUAAACCAAGUAAUUGAUAAGUCAUCCUUAUUACUUUUUACAUAUUUGCAAUAUAAUGCACCAAAAUCUUCAAAAACUUCGAUUGUUAAGAAAGUAUUUACUUUAAACGUUAAAUAAUCAACAAAGAAAGUGUACCUAAUGUGUACUUACCUUUCAAUGCAAGAAUCAAAGAAGAUAUGAAAUAAGAAAAAAAUUAUUACUUAAUAAUUUUUAAUGGUGACAUUAAUAUACAUUUUAUUGCUCGAACAACAACUGGCCUAAACUAGAAGAAAUAUUUUUCAACAAUAUGUAUGCAAAUUGAAAACUAUGUAGUAUUUUGAUUUAUUUAUAAAUAAAGUACUAUAAUAAAACUAAGAAGUUUAAUUUGUUGGUUACCGCGGGUCAUUACAAGCAUUGUGGACUAGGUACUGACCAUUAAAAAAAAAAAGGCUCGUCAUAAAAUUUCCAUAAAUAUGAUCCAAUUACUACAAUUAGUUUACUGUUUGAUGUGUCAGAACAAACAUAGAACAUUAACUGGUGAUAAACUUUAUUUGGAUUCAUCUAAAUUCUCAUUAUUGUCAAAACAAAAUCAAAUAGAAAGUCUUAUCACAAAAUGUAAAAGUGACUUUCCACAUGGAUUUCAUAAUUCAACAAUGUAUACCUACUCACAACAUUGAAUAUCACAUAAUAUCUUGACUGUUUGAAUAUUAACAUACAUGCACUACACCAGCUAUGCAAUCUAACUGUACCAAUAGAUAAAUUAAGUAUGAUUAAAUUAGUUAAAUUAUAAAAAACAUAUGUUAUAGGUGUUAUAAUUUUAAUAAUAAUACUAUACUGAGAAAAAUCUAAAAUUCUACAAAAUACUUAGCAAAGACAACUUUUUCUAAAUUUAACAAAAUGUGAGACUAAGGUCGUAGACUUCUAGCGUAUAAAGAUCUUUAUUUAGUUCUAUUUUUUUCAAAUUUAUCUAUAUCUUUGUCACAGAUGAGGUGGAUUAUAAGCAGGAAACUUUUUCAUUUUUUUUCUUAGAAGUAACGAUUAGAUUUGUUGAAUUACUAAAAGAUUUUAGAUUUUACACAAAUACUCUGCUUAUGCAAUCCGUUAAGUAAAUUCUAUUAUUUUUUGUAUAUUUAGUGAAUUUAGUCAGUAUUUCAGAAAAAAAAAUGAUUUUACUAAAUUUUUGUCUUAACAGCAAUCAUUAAUGUGCGCAAUUGCAUCCCUUGUUUCUUUCAAUAACUAAAAGAUAUAACUAAUUGAUAUUAGCUAUAUAGUUUUAAUAUAGUCAUUGAUCAUGAAUAUUAGUUGUUAAUGCUUAUGAACUGUUAAUUUUUAAUUAUUAAUAAUAUUGUUAUAUUACAAUGAAGGUUAAAUAAAAAAGUUGAUUUUUAAAUUAAACAUGUCUGUGCAUGCCUGUAACAAUAUUAUAUUUGAUGCAUCUUUUCGGAUUUAAUAUGUAAAAUGUAUGUUUAAUUAAUAUUAUUUAAUUAUUAAAUAAAAGUUAAACAGUAGGGCCCACAAAUAUCGAUAAAUGCAAGUUUAUUAAUGUUGCUGUUAAGAUACUUACCUUUUAGUACAUACCUACUAUAAGUAGGUAUCAAAAUAAAUAAAUUAUUAUUUAAUAAUUACCAUCGUAUUUUUAUUUAAAGGUUUUUUUUUUUAACAUUAUUAUUUUACGGCCAACAUUUAGGUUUUUGAUAAUGAAUAACCUCUCCUCUUUUUCUGUCUUGAGUAGGACACCUUGGUGUAUUCUUAAACAUACAAAAAAAUAUAAAACAUUAUUUAGUCAUGUACAUAAUAUUAUGUAGAAUGAAUUACAAUAAAUUAUUAAAUAUGGUAAAUAGUACAAAAAACAUUAAUAUUACUUUAUUAUUUUUAUCAUCCCAAUAAGCAAAUCUAGAUUUGGCUUUCCUUAUAAUGUAUUUAUCUUCCACAGUUUGUUCGCCAAUUUUGAUGCCAUUUAAAAUUUCCAAAAAUUUACUGUGCUUGGGACACCACCAUUCAGUACAAUUCUAAUAACAUACAAAUUAUAAAUAUGAUAUUAAAACUAUUUUAAAUAAAUACAUUACAUAAUUUGUUUUCAAUGUAUCAUCGAUGACAUUUAUCAGACUGCUUGUCUCAUCUUGUAAUUUCAAUCUAUCCAUCUUUGAGCAUACAAGUUUUUCUAUAAAAGAAACCUUGGAUUCAAUCGGCAGUAAAUCAUCUCUCUUAACAUAAUU